rnacentral:rRNA from 1 species
UACGGAGGGGGCUAGCGUUGUUCGGAUUUACUGGGCGUAAAGGGCUCGUAGGCGGCCAACUAAGUCAGACGUGAAAUCCCUCGGCUUAACCGGGGAACUGCGUCUGAUACUGGAUGGCUUGAGAUUGGGAGAGGGAUGCGGAAUUCCAGGUGUAGCGGUGAAAUGCGUAGAUAUCUGGAGGAACACCGGUGGCGAAGGCGGCAUCCUGGACCAACACUGACGCUGAGGAGCGAAAGCCAGGGGAGCAAACGGG